UUUGAUCCUGGCUCAGAACGAACGCUGGCGGCAGGCCUAACACAUGCAAGUCGAGCGCGCCUUCGGGUGAGCGGCGGACGGGUGAGUAACGCGUGGGAAUAUGCCCUUUGGUACGGAAUAGUCCUGGGAAACUGGGGGUAAUACCGUAUGCGCCCUUCGGGGGAAAGAUUUAUCGCCAAAGGAUUAGCCCGCGUUGGAUUAGGUAGUUGGUGGGGUAAUGGCCUACCAAGCCGACGAUCCAUAGCUGGUUUGAGAGGAUGAUCAGCCACACUGGGACUGAGACACGGCCCAGACUCCUACGGGAGGCAGCAGUGGGGAAUCUUAGACAAUGGGGGCAACCCUGAUCUAGC
rnacentral:rRNA from 1 species